CAGCAGCCACGGGAAUACGUAGGGUGCAAGCGUUAAUCGGAAUUACUGGGCGUAAAGCGUGCGCAGGCGGUUUGUUAAGACAGGUGUGAAAUCCCCGGGCUUAACCUGGGAACUGCAUUUGUGACUGGCGAGCUAGAGUAUGGCAGAGGGGGGUAGAAUUCCACGUGUAGCAGUGAAACGCGUAGAGAUGUGGAGGAAUACCGAUGGCGAAGGCAGCCCCCUGGGCCAAUACUGACGCUCAUGCACGAAAGCGUGGGGAGCAAACAGGAUUAGAUACCCCUGUAGUCCCUGUCUCUUAUAC
rnacentral:rRNA from 1 species